rnacentral:rRNA from 1 species
UGGCUCAGGACGAACGCUGGCGGCGUGCCUAACACAUGCAAGUCGAGCGAGGAGAUCCUCGGGAUGAUCCUAGCGGCGGACGGGUGAGUAACACGUGGGCAACCUGCCUCAUAGAGAGGAAUAGCCUUCCGAAAGGGAGAUUAAUACCUCAUAACAUUGCAGUUUCGCAUGGAACAGCAAUUAAAGGAGUAAUCCGCUAUGAGAUGGGCCCGCGGCGCAUUAGCUAGUUGGUGAGGUAACGGCUCACCAAGGCGACGAUGCGUAGCCGACCUGAGAGGGUGAUCGGCCACAUUGGGACUGAGACACGGCCCAGACUCCUACGGGAGGCAGCAGUGGGGAAUAUUGCACAAUGGGGGAAACCCUGAUGCAAGCAACGCCGCGUGAGUGAUGACGGCCUUCGGGUUGUAAAGCUCUGUCUUCAGGGACGAUAAUGACGGUACCUGAGGAGGAAGCCACGGCUAACUACGUGCCAGCCGCUGC